UGGAGAGUUUGAUCCUGGCUCAGAUUGAACGCUGGCGGCAGGCCUAACACAUGCAAGUCGAGCGGUAACACAGGGAGCUUGCUCCUGGGUGACGAGCGGCGGACGGGUGAGUAAUGUCUGGGAAACUGCCUGAUGGAGGGGGAUAACUACUGGAAACGGUAGCUAAUACCGCAUAACGUCGCAAGACCAAAGAGGGGGACCUUCGGGCCUCUUGCCAUCAGAUGUGCCCAGAUGGGAUUAGCUAGUAGGUGGGGUAACGGCUCACCUAGGCGACGAUCCCUAGCUGGUCUGAGAGGAUGACCAGCCACACUGGAACUGAGACACGGUCCAGACUCCUACGGGAGGCAGCAGUGGGGAAUAUUGCACAAUGGGCGCAAGCCUGAUGCAGCCAUGCCGCGUGUAUGAAGAAGGCCUUCGGGUUGUAAAGUACUUUCAGCGGGGAGGAAGGYGWURAGGUUAAUAACCUYRKCRAUUGACGUUACCCGCAGAAGAAGCACCGGCUAACUCCGUGCCAGCAGCCGCGGUA
rnacentral:rRNA from 1 species